rnacentral:rRNA from 1 species
AACAAUGUAGGCAAGGAAAGUCGGCAAAAUGAAUCCGUAACUUCGGAAAAAAGAUUGGCUCUGAGGGCUAGGCUCGAGGGUCCCAGUUCUGAACCCGUUGACUGUUGGCGGCUGCUUGAGACGCUAACGUGACGAGAGCGGACCGCCUCGUGUCGGCAGGGGGGACGGGCUGGUCAAAUCUUAAGCUGACAGAGACAACAACGGAGACAACAAUUCUUAAGCUCACAGAGGUUUGAAACCUUUGUUGUCUCCGUU